AGUCCCAUGUGUUUUGGAGGUAAAUUACUUGAAAGCUGAGUAUUUAAUAUUCUUGUAAUAGAAAAUCUGUUGACCCAUACGUUGUUUUCUAGGCUAAGGACAAGCACUGCUUUGGAACAAGGCUGCCUGGAUACUCAGGUUUCCCCUGGACACAGCAAUCCAAGGGAAAAGCUGGGGGUAUGCCCUGGCCAGUUGGAUCUCCAUGCCCUAACAAGGAACUCCCCAAACCUCUGCUGCCACCCACAGUGAAUGACAAUAACUCAUGAUAAAUCAUGCAGGCAAAUGUUCUGAGAUUUUUGACUGAAUUUUUUCUGCUGAAGGUGGUGAAAUACUGGCACUGUCUGCCCUGAGAAGCUGUGGAUGCCCUGUCCCUGGAAAUAUUCAGGAGCAACCUGAUCUAGUUGAAGAUGUCCUUGCUCAUUGCAGGGGCUUGGACUAGAUGAGCUUUAAAGAUCUCUUCCAACACAAACCAUUCCGUGAAACUACCCAGGUUUCAGCAUUCUCCUGCACACUGCUGAGGUUUAGUGGAGCUGCAAUAUAGAAAAGGUGUGUAGACAGCUGAGUUACAAUUCAUGU
rnacentral:lncRNA from 1 species